UAAAUACUCCCUCCAUUCAGAAUUACUUGUUGUGGAAAUGUGUAAAAAUGGAUGUAUUUAAAACUAAAAUAUGUCUAGAUACAACUAUUUCUGCAACAGUAAUUCGGGACGGAGGGAGUAGUAC
rfam:Triticum urartu cultivar G1812 contig197015, whole genome shotgun sequence.